rnacentral:rRNA from 3 species
UUUUCCGCAAUGGGCGAAAGCCUGACGGAGCAAUACCGCGUGAGGGAGGAAGGCUCUUGGGUUGUAAACCUCUUUUCUCAGGGAAUAAAAAAAUGAAGGUACCUGAGGAAUAAGCAUCGGCUAACUCCGUGCCAGCAGCCGCGGUAAUACGGAGGAUGCAAGCGUUAUCCGGAAUGAUUGGGCGUAAAGCGUCCGCAGGUGGCACUGUAAGUCUGCUGUUAAAGAGCAAGGCUCAACCUUGUAAAGGCAGUGGAAACUACAGAGCUAGAGUACGUUCGGGGCAGAGGGAAUUCCUGGUGUAGCGGUGAAAUGCGUAGAGAUCAGGAAGAACACCGGUGGCGAAAGCGCUCUGCUAGGCCGUAACUGACACUGAGGGACGAAAGCUAGGGGAGCGAAUGGGAUUAGAUACCCCAGUAGUCCUAGCCGUAAACGAUGGAUACUAGGCGUGGCUUGUAUCGACCCGAGCCGUGCCGGAGCCAACGCGUUAAGUAUCCCGCCUGGGGAGUACGCACGCAAGUGUGAAACUCACAGGAAUUGACGGGGGCCGCACAAGCGGUGGAGUAUGUGGUUUAAUUCGAUGCAACGCGAAGAACCUUACCAAGACUUGACAUGUCGCGAAUCUUCUUGAAAGGGAAGAGUGCCUUAGGGAGCGCGAACACAGGUGGUGCAUGGCUGUCGUCAGCUCGUGUCGUGAGAUGUUGGGUUAAGUCCCGCAACGAGCGCAACCCUCGUUUUUAGUUGCCAGCAUUAAGUUGGGCACUCUAGAGAGACUGCCGGUGACAAACCGGAGGAAGGUGGGGAUGACGUCAAGUCAGCAUGCCCCUUACGUCUUGGGCUACACACGUACUACAAUGCUACGGACAGAGGGCAGCAAGCUAGCGAUAGCAAGCAAAUCCCGUAAACCGUAGCUCAGUUCAGAUCGCAGGCUGCAACUCGCCUGCGUGAAGGAGGAAUCGCUAGUAAUUGCAGGUCAGGCUACUGCAGUGAAUUCGUUCCCGGGCCUUGUACACACCGCCCGUCACACCAUGGAAGCUGGCAACGCCCGAAGUCAUUACUCCAACUUUUAGGAGAGGAGGAUGCCUAAGGCAGUGCUGGUGACUGGGGUGAAGUCGUAACAAGGUAGC